CAAUAGCGUAUAUUAAAGUUGUUGCAGUUAAAAAGCUCGUAGUUGGAUUUCUGGUGGGAGCGAUCGGUCUGGCGCUUAGCGCGAGUACUUGCAUCGUCUCCGGCCAUCCUUGGGGAGAGUCUGUCUGGCAUUAGGUUGUCGGGCAGAGGAUCCUCAUCGUUUACUGUGAAAAAAUUAGAGUGUUCAAAGCAGGCUUAUGCCGUUGAAUAUAUUAGCAUGGAAUAAUAAGAUAGGACUUUGGUACUAUUUUGUUAGUUUGCGCACCAAAGUAAUGAUUAAUAGGGACAGUUGGGGGUAUUCGUAUUCCGUUGUCAGAGGUGAAAUUCUUGGAUUUACGGAAGACGAACUACUGCGAAAGCAUUUACCAAGGAUGUUUUCAUUAA
rnacentral:rRNA from 1 species